UUACAAGGGCUGGAUGGGAAACAUCUAGCUGAUUCCUAUGUUGAAGGUCUUACCUUCCUUUCUCUUGUAGC
rnacentral:miRNA from 1 species